GGGCGCGUAGCUCAGCGGUAGAGCACUCGUUUCACAUGCGAGGGGUCACUGGUUCAAUCCCAGUCGCGCCCACCA
rnacentral:tRNA from 1 species